rnacentral:rRNA from 1 species
UGAACGCUGGCGGCGUGCCUAACACAUGCAAGUCGGAUGUGCCGCAAGGUGCAUGGCAGACGGGUGAGUAACGCGUGGGCAAUCUACCUUUUAGUGGGGAAUAACGAUCCGAAAGGAUUGGUAAUACCGCAUGUGAUCAUCGACUGGGAUGUUGGUGAUGAAAGCCGGGGACCUUCGGGCCUGGCGCUAGGAGAGGAGCCCGCGUCUGAUUAGCUAGUUGGUGGGGUAAUGGCCUACCAAGGCGACGAUCAGUAGCCGGCCUGAGAGGGUGAUCGGCCACACUGGAACUGAGACACGGUCCAGACUCCUACGGGGGGCAGCAGUGGGGAAUUUUGCGCAAUGGACGAAAGUCUGACGCAGCAACGCCGCGUGGGUGAUGAAGGUCUUCGGAUCGUAAAACCCUGUCGUCGGGGACGAAGGUGGGCUUGUUAAUAGCGAGUUUACUUGACGGUACCCGGAGAGGAAGCCCCGGCUAACUCUGU